UAGGGAAUCUUCCACAAUGGACGCAAGUCUGAUGGAGCAACGCCGCGUGAGUGAAGAAGGCUUUCGGGUCGUAAAACUCUGUUAUUGAAGAAGAACGUGUGUGACAGUAACUGGUCAUGCAGUGACGGUAUUCAAUCAGAAAGUCACGGCUAACUACGUGCCAGCAGCCGCGGUAAUACGUAGGUGGCAAGCGUUGUCCGGAUUUAUUGGGCGUAAAGCGAGUGCAGGCGGUCUUUUAAGUCUGAUGUGAAAGCCUUCGGCUUAACCGAAG
rnacentral:rRNA from 1 species